GCCGUGUUUCGAGUUACUCCGGAACACAGUGUUUAUUCUGUGUUUAGUCACGCCGCGUCAAAAAUGUUCCACAGGGUUACUUCCGGUUUAUCGUUGUUUACCUUUGUAAACCAACUGUCGACACUUCGUGUAUUAGGCCUAGGCUUAAUUUUGUCGAUCAUCAUGAAAUUGAAAUACACAUAUCAUAGUUUGGGGUGUAUGCGGUACAUAUUUGUUUAUGAGCGUUUGAUAAGCUACUAUUGAUCUACGAAAUACAACGAAAGACUUGGUCAAGAACAGAAGAAGACGAUGUCGUGUAACUCGCACAAGGCCCAGCUGUCUAGUAACCGGAGGGGUAAAGGAAAAGAACGUAUUAGACUCACUGAAACCUGUCAAACAGGUAUAUGGGAACAGGAUAAUUUUCCAUGCCUUUCACUUGAGGUCUUCAGUUUCAUCAUUAAUCAUCUGAAUGUCGGUAUGCCAAACUCUCAUGAUGUCAUGCCAUUACUGGAUAUUCCUUAACACUGGUUUAUUUAAACCACACUACCUCUAACAUUGCCAAAAUAUUAGACUGAAAAUUUUCAAAUACACAAGAUUUGAAGCAGCAAAAGAAAAGAAUUACAUAUGUAUAACACACAAAAAAGAAGAAAUUAAUUCUCACCUGGCUGAUACGAACUUUUUACUCCUUUUUAGCUUCCUUUCACUGCAUACCAGCCAAUAACUAGCAGUCAUUAUAUGCAGAUCAGCCAUUGUUAUCAACCUGUGUAUAUAUAUGUUGAAUAAAAUAUGAAUGAAAA